CCUACGGGCGGCUGCAGUGGGGAAUAUUGCACAAUGGGCGCAAGCCUGAUGCAGCCAUGCCGCGUGUGUGAAGAAGGCCUUCGGGUUGUAAAGCACUUUCAGCGGGGAGGAAGGCGGUGAGGUUAAUAACCUCAUCGAUUGACGUUACCCGCAGAAGAAGCACCGGCUAACUCCGUGCCAGCAGCCGCGGUAAUACGGAGGGUGCAAGCGUUAAUCGGAAUUACUGGGCGUAAAGCGCACGCAGGCGGUCUGUCAAGUCGGAUGUGAAAUCCCCGGGCUCAACCUGGGAACUGCAUUCGAAACUGGCAGGCUAGAGUCUUGUAGAGGGGGGUAGAAUUCCAGGUGUAGCGGUGAAAUGCGUAGAGAUCUGGAGGAAUACCGGUGGCGAAGGCGGCCCCCUGGACAAAGACUGACGCUCAGGUGCGAAAGCGUGGGGAGCAAGCAGGAUUAGAUACCCCAGUAGUC
rnacentral:rRNA from 1 species